GUGGGGAAUAUUGGACAAUGGGCGAAAGCCUGAUCCAGCCAUGCCGCGUGUGUGAAGAAGGUCUUCGGAUUGUAAAGCACUUUAAGUUGGGAGGAAGGGCAGUAAGUUAAUACCUUGCUGUUUUGACGUUACCGACAGAAUAAGCACCGGCUAACUUCGUGCCAGCAGCCGCGGUAAUACGAAGGGUGCAAGCGUUAAUCGGAAUUACUGGGCGUAAAGCGCGCGUAGGUGGUUCGUUAAGUUGGAUGUGAAAGCCCCGGGCUCAACCUGGGAAAUGCAUCCAAAACUGGCGAGCUAGAGUACGGUAGAGGGUGGUGGAAUUUCCUGUGUAGCGGUGAAAUGCGUAGAUAUAGGAAGGAACACCAGUGGCGAAGGCGACCACCUGGACUGAUACUGACACUGAGGUGCGAAAGCGUGGGGAGCAAACAGGAUUAGAAACCCGGGUAGUCC
rnacentral:rRNA from 1 species